rnacentral:rRNA from 1 species
UAACCUGCCCAAGAGAUCGGGAUAACACCUGGAGACAGAUGCUAAUACCGGAUAACAACAGAUGAUGCCUAUCAACUGUUUAAAAGAUGGUUCUGCUAUCACUCUUGGAUGGACCUGCGGUGCAUUAGCUAGUUGGUAGGGUAACGGCCUACCAAGGCGAUGAUGCAUAGCCGAGUUGAGAGACUGAUCGGCCACAUUGGGACUGAGACACGGCCCAAACUCCUACGGGAGGCAGCAGAA